rnacentral:misc_RNA from 1 species
UUUACAAGCAUCAUUGCUA